GCACGGGGAGGUAGUGACAAAAAAUAACGAUACGGGACUCAUCCGAGGCCCCGUAAUCGGAAUGAGAACACCCUAAAUCCUUUAACGAGGAUCUAUUGGAGGGCAAGUCUGGUGCCAGCAGCCGCGGUAAUUCCAGCUCCAAUAGCGUAUAUUAAAGUUGUUGCGGUUAAAAAGCUCGUAGUUGGUUCUGCGUGCCACGCUGUCGGUUCACCGCCUGCCGGUGCAACUGGCAUGCCGUGGCAUGUCCUGUCGGUGGCGGAUAGGCUUCGCGGCGUGCCCCAUGCGGCUUUACGUCAUGUGGGUUGUCGCUCCGCGUUGUCCUUGUACGCCGGCUCAAUCCUACCGCGGUGCUCUUUACCGAGUGUCGAGGUAGGCCGACAAUGUUUACUUUGAACAAAUUAGAGUGCUUAAAGCAGGCUCUUGAAUCAGCCUGAAUAGUGGUGCAUGGAAUAAUGGAACAGGACCUUGGUUCUAUUUUGUUGGUUUUAGGAAUCCAAGGUAAUGAUCAAUAAGGACAGGCGGGGGCAUUCGUAUUGCGACGUUAGAGGUGAAAUUCUUGGAUCGUCGCAAGACGCACUAGAGCGAAAGCAUUUGCCAAGUAUGUCUUAAUUGAUCAAGAACGAAAGUUAGAGGUUCGAAGGCGAUCAGAUACCGCCCUAGUUCUAACCAUAAACGAUGCCAGCCAGCGAUCCGCCGAUGUUCCUCCGAUGACUCGGCGGGGAGCUUCCCCCGGGAAACCAAAGCUUUUGGGUUCCGGGGGAAGUAUGGUUGCAAAGCUGAAACUUAAAGGAAUUGACGGAAGGGCACCACCAGGAGUGGAGCCUGCGGCUUAAUUUGACUCAACAC
rnacentral:rRNA from 1 species